CCUACGGGGGGCAGCAGUGGGGAAUAUUGGACAAUGGGGGAAACCCUGAUCCAGCGACGCCGCGUGAGUGAAGAAGUAUUUCGGUACGUAAAGCUCUAUCAGCAGGAAAGAAAAUGACGGUACCUGACUAAGAAGCCCCGGCUAACUACGUGCCAGCAGCCGCGGUAAUACGUAGGGGGCAAGCGUUAUCCGGAUUUACUGGGUGUAAAGGGAGCGUAGACGGCAGCGCAAGUCUGGAGUGAAAUGCCGGGGGCCAACCCCGGAACUGCUCUGGAAACUGUGAAGCUGGAGUGCAGGAGAGGUAAGCGGAAUUCCUGGUGUAGCGGUGAAAGGCGUAGAUAUCAGGAGGAACACCGGCGGCGAAGGCGGCUUACUGGACUGUAACUGACGUUGAGGCUCGAAGGCGUGGGGAGCAAACAGGAUUAGAUACCCGGGUAGUC
rnacentral:rRNA from 1 species